AGAGUUUGAUCCUGGCUCAGGACGAACGCUGGCGGCGUGCUUAACACAUGCAAGUCGAGCGGAAAGGCCCUUCGGGGUACUCGAGCGGCGAACGGGUGAGUAACACGUGAGGAACCUGCUUAGCUCUGGGAUAGCUUCGGGAAACCGGAAUUAAUACCAGAUACGACUGCGACCGGCAUCGGUCGCGGUGGAAAGAUUUA
rnacentral:rRNA from 1 species